rnacentral:rRNA from 1 species
CCUACGGGAGGCAGCAGUGAGGAAUAUUGGUCAAUGGACGAGAGUCUGAACCAGCCAAGUAGCGUGAAGGAUGACUGCCCUAUGGGUUGUAAACUUCUUUUAUAUGGGAAUAAAGUGUUCCACGUGUGGGAUUUUGUAUGUACCAUAUGAAUAAGGAUCGGCUAAAUCCGUGCCAGCAGCCGCGGUAAUACGGAGGAUCCGAGCGUUAUCCGGAUUUAUUGGGUUUAAAGGGAGCGUAGGUGGAUUGUUAAGUCAGUUGUGAAAGUUUGCGGCUCAACCGUAGAAUUGCAGUGGAAACUGGCAGUCUUGAGUACAGUAGAGGUGGGCGGAAUUCGUGGUGUAGCGGUGAAAUGCUUAGAUAUCACGAAGAACUCCGAUUGCGAAGGCAGCUUACUGGACUGCAACUGACACUGAGGCUCGAAAGUGUGGGUAUCAAACAGGAUUAGAUACCCUUGUAGUC